AUACGGAGGGAGCAAGCGUUAUUCGGAAUCACUGGGCGUAAAGGACGCGUAGGCGGGUCUGUAAGUCAGGUGUGAAAUCCUACAGCUCAACUGUAGAACUGCACUUGAAACUACAGACCUAGAGUAUGGAAGGGGCAGAUGGAAUUAGUGGUGUAGGAGUAAAAUCCGUAGAUAUCACUAGGAAUACCGAAAGCGAAGGCGAUCUGCUGGGACAUUACUGACGCUGAGGCGUGAAAGCGUGGGGAGCAAACAGGAUUAGAAACCCCAGUAGUCC
rnacentral:rRNA from 1 species